rnacentral:rRNA from 1 species
UACGAAGGGGGCUAGCGUUGCUCGGAAUCACUGGGCGUAAAGCGCACGUAGGCGGGUCGUUAAGUCGGGGGUGAAAUCCUGGAGCUCAACUCCAGAACUGCCUUCGAUACUGGCGAUCUUGGAGUCCGGGAGAGGUGGGUGGAACUGCGAGUGUAGAGGUGAAAUUCGUAGAUAUUCGCAAGAACACCAGUGGCGAAGGCGGCUCACUGGCCCGAUACUGACGCUGAGGCACGAAAGCGUGGGGAGCAAACAGG